rfam:Chaetura pelagica isolate M959 contig62973, whole genome shotgun sequence.
CCAAAGGCUCUUUUUGGAGCCAUUUGAUACUGAGCACGAUGAGAAGG